GAGUUUGAUCCUGGCUCAGGACGAACGCUGGCGGCGUGCUUAACACAUGCAAGUCGAACGGUAAGGCCCCUUCGGGGGUACACGAGUGGCGAACGGGUGAGUAACACGUGGGUAAUCUGCCCUGCACUUCGGGAUAAGCCUGGGAAACUGGGUCUAAUACCGGAUAUGAACUCCUGCCGCAUGGUGGGGGUUGGAAAGUUUUUCGGUGCAGGAUGAGCCCGCGGCCUAUCAGCUUGUUGGUGGGGUAAUGGCCUACCAAGGCGACGACGGGUAGCCGGCCUGAGAGGGUGAUCGGCCACACUGGGACUGAGACACGGCCCAGACUCCUACGGGAGGCAGCAGUGGGGAAUAUUGCACAAUGGGCGAAAGCCUGAUGCAGCGACGCCGCGUGGGGGAUGACGGUCUUCGGAUUGUAAACCCCUUUCAGUAGGGACGAAGCGCAAGUGACGUACUGC
rnacentral:rRNA from 1 species